rnacentral:lncRNA from 1 species
GCGCGCGCAGUGACGUGUGAUUUGAACACGCAUUAAUGUGUUGUUGCCUGUAUAUGUUGCUGUUGGGACAUCAGAGUAGUUUGGAUAAUCAAGAGUUCAUCAAGAAGAAGAAGAAGAAGAACAGAGAGCCACAAACAGCUGUCUGCUUUUCAAAGAUUGGAGGAUGGUGAAUGUUUAGGGCUGGGUGAUAUAUCAAUAUAUCACCCCAAACUGGUUUGACGUGCAUAUUGUGAUAUUGGUUUCAUAAUUUUUGACCUGGCACUAUAUUGUGAAUCAUGAUGUGUGGGGGUGCCAACCUGAAUUUUUAGUGCUGCCUUGAUAUAAUCUUUUUGAGUGCCCUUGGUGGCAUUGUUGGUCCUAACAUAAGGCUCUGCAGAUGGUGAGAGGCGUUUCUGUGUUGGCGAUGGGGGAUAAAUUCAAUUCACAUUUAAAGGCAAACUUCCUAAAUUUGCACUUUACAAAACAAGUACAUGAACCAAAGGGCGAUUGUCUUUCAAAAUCCUUCAGACUCUGCCAUGCAGUUCUCCAGUCAAAUCAUGUGUACAGAAAUGCAUGCGCGCACGCGCACACACACACACACACACACACACGAGAUAGAUAGAUAGAGAGAGAGAGAGAGAGAGUAUACACACUGCACUGCACUGUAGAAUGGUGUGUUUCAUUGUCAACCCUGCUAUGAAAUUAGAAUGGAACAGCCUGAGGGGCUGGUGCUUGAAAAACAGUUGGAGGCUGGAGCUGUUACAUUUGCAUUGUGUUGCCUUACUGCAAACUCACUCUGUAUUAAAAACAAAAACAAAAACCCUUGCCUUGUUUGACUCAAAAGAAGUGAUGAAAUGCGUUACAGAUGCAGUACUGGUAUGUGGCCCCUGAUCUCUGAAUCUGCUAUCAAAAAUGUGAAGAUGUUUAUCCGAGUUGCAAAGAAUUUUAGCGAAAGCCAGCAAAGGGUGAGGCAAGAUGAGCACGUGUCCAGCUGAGGAAAAACUCUGGGCCAUUAAGGUACAGAAGGGAACAGCACCAUUUGACUUGGCCCCGAUGCUUUGCACUGUUUCACAGCAAUCUGUGUAAAUCCAACGUCACCAUCCAGGAACAUUUUCUCCCUCCAAUUAGUAACCCCUGCACACAGAAUUAGGAAAUUGCAGGGAGGUCUAAUAACAGAAGAAAACACUGAAAAAAACUACACGAAGAGACUGAAACCUACAAAGUGCAGUUGGUUAGACACAAGAAUCACUGCUUCAAGAGCACACUAAAAGAAGCAAAUGCAUUUAUGGGUCUUAAUCUUUUUUGUGCUGUUAGAUGAAGUCUGACGUCACCUGCUGAAUUUAAGAGCUCAUUAGGAGGCCGACAUCAAUUACAGCAGAAGGAUGGACACGGGCCAUAUGCCAUACAGCCAUGCUGUAGCUAUUAAAUCUCGCUACAGGUCACAGGGCAGUCAAAUACCUACUUGCAGCAGAAGAGAAAAAGAAAUACAUUCCUAAAAACCAGUUUUUAAUUGAAACCCACAAACAGGAGCUCUUAUUUCUUCCACCAACAUUAAUGGAAAAAGAAUAUUGAAUUUUGGCCUUUUCUGCCAUAUUAAAUGUGGCAGCCGCACACACUCCCCUUGUAAUGUUCCCAGCUCCACAUUGGCAUUUUAAAACUUUAAUGGCAGCAAACGCUGCAGCUAAAUAGCCACUAGAAAAUUAACAUAGAGAGUUAUUCCAUGCCUGAGAAAAGAAAUGAAACAAAAACCGAGUGAUGGGUGUUCCAAGCCUGCUUUAUAUAAGCGACCCAGUCACGAAUCGGGUUGGUGAGCAGUGAGGAAAAUCAAAUAAGAUUUAAUCUCCACACAGAAUAGCUGCUUUAAAGAAGUCCACACAUUUUCCUACAACGGGAAUGGGAUGCACUAGUAGCAUAGCCAAUCCAAACCUUUUUGCUGCCUGUGACAUAGUCAGUUGACGUUUAAUGACAAACGCACCCAAUCUGUACUUUUGGAAACAGUAUGCAGACCGAAAUGCAGCCAUCCUUCAAACUGUUCACUUCUCUGCGUUCUCCAGUCAAGUAAUGUUUAGAAAAAUCACACAUUCCGCAGCUUCCUGCUGAAAUUGUGUAACUUUUCAUAUGGCAAAUGUGCUGGGGUUGUUGGUGCUUUUUUGUCCUGCUUUUGUAAUGCAGGAACACUGGGGAAUCAUCUCAGAACAACUAAUAAAGCAGAAUGAUGUGUGGUCCAUUAUAAAUCCAAUACUAACACACUGUUAGGGGUCAGGAACAUGUUGCAGAAUACACCAUGUUUUUUUAAAAAACACACAGUCUGGAGGGUCUCAGAAUCUGUUCACAUGCCCUAAUUCUUUCCCUUCGAACUUCCCUGUCUCCGCCUUCCUCUUCUCUUUUCUCUCCAUCAUUCUCUUUCUCUAUCGUACUCCUGACCCACGCCCUUCUGAAACAUGAAGCUAAAAAUACCUGGUUAAAUAUAUACGUGAACAACAUUGAAAAAGAAGGAAGGUAGGGAGAGCUGAAAAUAGUCCACAACAAAGCAGCAGGGAAGGAAUCUGCUGGAAAUAGACACUGCAAAAACUCAAAAGGACAUAUUUGAAGAGGGUGUGUUGGCAGCUAUGAGAUGGCGAGCCUGACAAUCAAAUAAUUGCCAAAAUUACUGUUAUACAAUAAUUGAUCCUUGGAAGAUUAGAUUUUUCAAGGGCCAGCUGUGGAGAACUGGAAAGAUAUAUGAAUUUCUCAGAAAUGCCAAUUUAUAACUGAGGCUUCGGUGUUGGCCUUUGGUAGACUUUUAAACAAGAUCAAUUGUUCCUGAAAUAACAGGAAACGUUCUGUCUAGGGGUUUCCCCCACCAAUCCCAUUAUUACGUCCAUUGUUUCUCCCCUAUCACCAACAUCCACACACCUGCCAAAGGUAUCCUUGGGGAGGCAGCACUUUCCAAAACAAUAUGCAAACCAAAACACACUCAUCCUUUGAAAUUCGUCCUCCUCUGAAUUCUGCAAUGCAGUUCGCCAGCCAAGCAAAUAACUACAGAAAUGCAUAUACUGGGGGUAAAGUCCGCAAAGAAAUCCACAUAUUUGUGAAAACUGUAUACUGUUUUCUGAACACCACCAGUUUCAGUCUGAACACCACCAAAAUGCUGAACACCCUCCAUGGUCCACCCUGUUCUGUGUCCAUUGUGGGCAUUUGAAAAGGACUGUCAAGCUAUCACUUGACACUUCCCAGUCUUUGAAAAGAAGAAAGAUGUUUGUGGCUCUCUGCUCUUCUUCUUCACUAAUAUCAUUCUCUUUUUAUUCUGAUGUCCCAAAAACACCACAUAGAGAAACUUGUGCUGUAUAUGGCUUGGUUAAGGAAACCUUCAUAAUGUAAUGAUUUUUCUGUG